GGAGGGAAAGCAGUGAAACCCAACAUGUAAACUGACAGGAAAAGUUCAAAAGCAAGCAGAUCUUGGCAGAAGGCUUUUGCUCACUUCUUGAGCGCCUGAGGAGAGUUCAGCGUACUGUUUGCUGCAGCCAGAGGCCUUCAUGCUGCUGUAGACAGCUCAUCAACAUGAGUGACAAGCUUCUGUGCAGGAACAACAGCAGCAGAGCAGAAGAGGAGCUGACUAACAAAACAGUCUGUGCCUGGAGGCAAGAAGUGGAGGAGAGAUCUUAGAAACCAAAGGCCACACAGCAGAAUCCUGCGCCACUAGCCCGUCAAAGUGUCACGAGCAACAAGCUGAACUCCCACAUGGAUCACAGCGUCAUCACAGAUGAGCCAAACAGAGUAGAGGAUGAAGAAAUGAGAACAGGAGAAAGGGACACACAAGAAGGAGAUACAACAGACAAGAACGACAAUGGAGACCACAAUGAACAGGAACACCAGAACAGACAAGAGUCAAUGCUCUUGUCUGGUAAAGCUUUGAAAAUUUACCAGACAAGGUAAAACAAAGCUUUGAAAAUUCAUCACCAUCUACAUGCUUGUCAUGUUCCAGACACUGCUCUCAACCACUCAGGGCCUGCUUAAAUACCUGCAGAAAGAAACAAUUGACUUGCUGCAGGCAGUAGAUUACAAAACAGCAGUUGAGAACACACUGAAAAGUUACCGAAGUAACGAGAAAGCACAUGAGGUCUAUGACAAGACCAAGGCCCUGUGCAAUGAUCUUGAUAUUCCCGAAACUGUGACACAGAGGAAGAAGCGUAGAAACAUGGAAGACUUUGUAGUCAAGGCAUCAUGUGGAGCAAUGUGAAACAUUAAACAUAAAUAAACUGGUGUACAAAACUCACAUACCUGCAUUUCAAUGGACAGCAUAAAAGGACACGUGAGCUGGGUUCUGUUGGAGAAAUAGCACCAUGCUGCUCACAUUAGCUUAUUAGCUCAGAUUAGCUAUUGAUGAUCACGUUGAUAAAUCAAAUAAAACAAAUAGUCAAUCACACAAAAAACAUGUUGCUGUGACU